rnacentral:lncRNA from 1 species
GCAUGUCUCAUUUGUAUAUUGUCUCAUUUAUAUGUCGAUUUAUUGGUAUAUUCAAAAUUUAUCUUAGUACAUAUUUAAAGCUUUGCUACUUUAUUUUCUGAUGCUAUAAUUCAGGGUAUAAGGUGCUGAUUUUCUGAUAUUUUGAUUUUUUUUUAUUUCUAUUUUUUAUGCUGAAUGUCAAAGUGUGCAGUAUGGUCUAUGUACAGAGGU